AAACAUGCAAAUGGUGCACGUCGUCAGGGAACCCAGAAUACAAUACUACAGCUGCAGUGUUGUUAUCUUCCACUGCACCAAGCUCUUCCUGCUUCUUAAUGCAAGUGUUUUCAAUGAGACCAGAGCUGCUCAUCAUGCUUUGCCAACAGCUGUAAUAUUGCCAGGAAAUUACCUUUAUUUGAGGAAUCACUUGUGGUAUCAUCUCUGUGUCCUCGGAGAGGAAUAUUUUGUUUCCCACAAAGAAUGAUCGCAUCUACUAUUUUCUCAAGCAACUUUAUGUUGUGCUGAUACUGUGCCUGAUUUUGCUGAUUGAGUUUAUACGGAAGAGACGAAGAUGGCACUUCGGAUGUCAUCUUAGUUGUGUGAUAAACAGAUUUGGCACUCUUGUGGUGUUCUGAAUUUUAAUGCUUUAAAAGGCCAGAUGUUUUUCCAAGGGCUGUUUUAUACGCAGUAAAUGGUUGCGUAACAAAUGUAUUUUGAUGUUGGACAUCUGACUGAGGGAACAUGACACAAAACUUACACAGACCGCCAUUUAAUAGUUUGCUGAAGGUCAACCAUGAAAACUGAUUCAUCCAAGAAUAUUGAAAUGAUAAAGUCUUUUUGAGUUCACCCGUAUUCGUUGUUUGAGCACAACCUGUUUUUAACUUAGCGACAUCGUCUGGCAAGGGUUGAUUCUGAAUAUAACUUAUCCUUUCAGCUGAGGACAUUGUGUUCAACUUUAUUGCACCUGUUACAAUUUUACCAAGAUCAGAAAAAUCCGAAUCGUCAAAAGAUGUUUUAUCUUUAUCAUGUUCUGUUGUCUUAAUAAAUUCAUUGUCAUCAGAUU